CCCUGAUUCUUACUCAUCUUUUAAAAGCUUUUGUUGGUAAAGUACCUCACUACUGUUGUAUGCAGGCUUGUUUCCGCUGCCACAGAGAUUAUGCAUAUUACAAAAGUCUUCAGAGGGCUUCACUUAUUACUCAAUGCACUGAGAUUCAUCGAGACAACAAGAGCUAGGAUUGAGAAAGCUAGGGAUGACUGCUUGACUUUUGAUCAUUAGCAACUCUUAGAGCUCCUCUUGGCGAGAACACGAAAUAGUGGUGGAGAAGUGUAGAAAGUUUUGCAGAACU